GGCUUAGAGUUUGAUCAUGGCUCAGGACGAACGCUGGCGGCGCGCCUAACACAUGCAAGUCGAGCGGAGUUUGCUGACGGAAGCUUUCGGGUGGAAGAUAGUAAACUUAGCGGCGGACGGGUGAGUAACACGUGAGCAACCUGCCUCUCAGAGGGGGAUAACGUUUGGAAACGAACGCUAAUACCGCAUAACACCGAGACGUCACAUGGCGAUUCGGUCAAAGGAGCAAUCCGCUGAGAGAUGGGCUCGCGUCCGAUUAGAUAGUUGGCGGGGUAACGGCCCACCAAGUCGACGAUCGGUAGCCGGACUGAGAGGUUGAUCGGCCACAUUGGGACUGAGACACGGCCCAGACUCCUACGGGAGGCAGCAGUGGGGGAUAUUGCACAAUGGAGGAAACUCUGAUGCAGCGACGCCGCGUGAGGGAAGACGGUUUUCGGAUUGUAAACCUCUGUCUUCAGGGACGAAAUGAAUGACGGUACCUGAGGAGGAAGCUCCGGCUAACUACGUGCCAGCAGCCGCGGUAAUACGUAGGGAGCAAGCGUUGUCCGGAAUUACUGGGUGUAAAGGGAGCGUAGGCGGGAAUGCAAGUUGAAUGUCAAAUCUACCGGCUUAACUGGUAGCCGCGUUCAAAACUGCGUUUCUUGAGUGAAGUAGAGGCAGGCGGAAUUCCUAGUGUAGCGGUGAAAUGCGUAGAUAUUAGGAGGAACACCAGUGGCGAAAGCGGGCCUGCUGGGCUUUUACUGACGCUGAGCUCGAAAGUGUGGGUAGCAAACAGGAUUAGAUACCCUGGUAGUCCACACUGUAAACGAUGAUUACUAGGUGUGGGGGGUCUGACCCCUUCCGUGCCGGAGUUACACAUAAGUAAUC
rnacentral:rRNA from 1 species